rnacentral:rRNA from 1 species
CCUACGGGAGGCUGCAGUGAGGAAUAUUGGUCAAUGGACGAGAGUCUGAACCAGCCAAGUAGCGUGAAGGAUGACUGCCCUCUGGGUUGUAAACUUCUUUUAUAUGGGAAUAAAAUGUUCCACGUGUGGGAUUUUGUACGUACUAUAUGAAUAAGGCUCGGCUAACUACGUGCCAGCAGCCGCGGUAAUACGGAGGAUCCGAGCGUUAUCCGGAUUUAUUGGGUUUAAAGGGAGCGUAGGUGGAUUGUUAAGUCAGUUGUGAAAGUUUGCGGCUCAACCGUAAAAUUGCAGUUGAAACUGGCAGUCUUGAGUACAGUAGAGGUGGGCGGAAUUCGUGGUGUAGCGGUGAAAUGCUUAGAUAGCACGAAGAACACCGAUGGCGAAGGCAGUUCACUGGACUGCAACUGACACUGAGGCUCGAAAGUGUGGGUAUCAAACAGGAUUAGAUACCCGUGUAGUC